GAUGAACGCUGGCGGCGUGCCUUACACAUGCAAGUCGAACGGUAACGCGGGGCAACCUGGCGACGAGUGGCGAACGGGUGAGUAAUGCAUCGGAACGUGCCCAGUAGUGGGGGAUAGCCCGGCGAAAGCCGGAUUAAUACCGCAUACGACCUACGGGUGAAAGCGGGGGAUCGCAAGACCUCGCGCUAUUGGAGCGGCCGAUGUCAGAUUAGGUAGUUGGUGGGGUAAAGGCCUACCAAGCCUGCGAUCUGUAGCUGGUCUGAGAGGACGACCAGCCACACUGGGACUGAGACACGGCCCAGACUCCUACGGGAGGCAGCAGUGGGGAAUUUUGGACAAUGGGCGCAAGCCUGAUCCAGCCAUGCCGCGUGCGGGAAGAAGGCCUUCGGGUUGUAAACCGCUUUUGUCAGGGAAGAAACGCUCUGGGUUAAUACCCUGGGGUAAUGACGGUACCUGAAGAAUAAGCACCGGCUAACUACGUGCCAGCAGCCGCGGUAACAC
rnacentral:rRNA from 1 species